rnacentral:rRNA from 1 species
AGAGUUUGAUCAUGGCUCAGAAUCAACGGCUGGCGGCGCGCUUAACACAUGCAAGUCGAACGAGAAAGGGAGCAAUCCUGAGUAAAGUGGCGGACGGCUGAGUAACGCGUAGGAACGUACCCCGAAGUGAGGGAUAAGCACCGGAAACGGUGUCUAAUACCGCAUAUUCUCUAAGGAGCAAAGCAGCAAUGCGCUUUGGGAACGGCCUGCGUCUGAUUAGCUUGUUGGUGAGGUAAAAGCUCACCAAGGCGACGAUCGGUAGCUGGUUUGAGAGGAUGAUCAGCCAGACUGGGACUGAGACACGGCCCAGACUCCUACGGGAGGCAGCAGUAGGGAAUUUUCCACAAUGGGCGAAAGCCUGAUGGAGCAACGCCGCGUGCAGGAUGAAGGCCCUCGGGUCGUAAACUGCUUUUAGUUGUGACGAUUAUGACGGUAGCAGCUGAAUAAGGGUCUGCUAACUACGUG